rnacentral:rRNA from 1 species
GGAGUUUGGACCGUCUCUCAGUUCCAAUGUGGCCGGUCAUCCUCUCAGAUCGGCUACCGAUCGUCGACUUGGUGGGCCGUUACCUCACCAACUAUCUAAUCGGACGCGAACUCACCCCAAACCGGAUUGCUCCUUUUACCCCUGGGCCAUGCGACCCCGUGGUCUCAUGCGGUAUUAGCACCUGUUUCCAAGUGUUAUUCCCCUGUCUGGGACAGAUUGUUCACGCGUUACUCACCCGUCCGCCACUAGAAUUACCAACCUUCCAGCCGAAGCCUUCCGCUCGGUAAUCCCCGUUCGACUUGCAUGUGUUAAGCACGCCGCCAGCGUUCGUC